AUUUAUAUAGUUUAGAAAAACAUUACAUUUUCACUGUAAAGUCAAACUUUAGUUUUAUAAAUA
rnacentral:tRNA from 1 species